AUGGGGAUGAGAUGCCACGUCGUCGCGGUGCUGGGCGUGGCCUGCACUGUGGCCGCCGCCGUCGCCGCCGACAGGGAGCUGUCGUUCGCCGGCGCCGUGGCGCCGCCGGAGGAAGCGAGCUACCUGCGCAAGCUGGCCUGCUCCCUGUGGCAGAGUGACGGAACCACCUACCACCACGUGUGGCCGCCCAUGAAAUUUGGGUGGAAAAUCGUGUUGGGGUCAUUCAUUGGAUUCUUCGGGGCAGCGUUCGGCAGCAUCGGCGGUGUAGGUGGUGGUGGGAUCUUUGUGCCGAUGCUGACCCUGAUCAUUGGCUUUGAUCCCAAGUCAUCCGCGGCGAUGUCAAAAUGUAUGAUCAUGGGGGCUGCCGUGUCAACCGUGUACUGUAACCUCAAGCUGAAGCACCCGACAUUGGACAUGCCAGUGAUAGACUAUGAUCUGGCCCUACUCAUUCAGCCCAUGCUCAUGCUAGGGGUCAGCAUUGGGGUUAUCUGCAAUGUGAUAUUCCCUGACUGGCUCGUCACAGUCCUCUUGAUCAUUCUCUUCAUAGUUACUUCAACCAAAGCUUUUCUGAAGGCUGUAGAAACAUGGAAGAAAGAGACGAUAAUCAUAACGGAGACAGCAAAACAAUCACAGCAAACAAACGAAGAACAGGUGUACAUGCCGCUGUCUGCAGGACUUGACGCCGCAUCUCAGUCUGAAAUUCUGUCAGAUGAUGAUCAAAAUGAAACCCCAUCAGACGAAGCGGUAUCCAUUUGGAAGAAUGUUUACUGGAAGGAGGUUGGCCUUCUUGCCUUCGUUUGGGUAGCAUUCCUUGCGCUUCAAGUCACUAAGAACUACAUGGCAACUUGCUCCAUCUGGUACUGGGUUCUGAACUUACUCCAGAUCCCUGUGUCUGUUGGGGUGGCCAUGUACGAAGCAGUAGGUUUGGUGCAGGGGAGGAGGGUGAUAUCAUCAAAGAAGAACGAGCAUAACAGCCUGAGAGCUCAUCAGCUAUUGGUAUACUGCUUCUUGGGCGUCACUGCUGGUGUCGUCGCCGGUCUGCUUGGCGUUGGUGGGGGCUCCAUCAUGGGGCCUCUCUUCCUGGAGCUCGGUGUUCCUCCGCAAGUCGCAAGUGCUACAGCCACCUUCGCGAUGAUGUUCUCAUCUUCCAUGUCCGUCGUAGAGUACUACCUCCUGAACCGGUUCCCUGUGCCAUAUGCUGUCUACUUGACCAUCCUGGCGUUUUUCGCUGCGAUCAUUGGCCAGAGGGUUGUGAGGAAGCUAAUUGAUCUGCUAGGGCGGGCGUCGAUCAUCGUCUUCAUAUUGUCCUUCAUGAUCUUCAUCAGCGCACUCUCUCUAGGCGGAGUCGGCAUCUCCAACACGAUCCACAAGUUCGCACGGCAUGAGUACAUGGGAUUCGAGAACAUCUGCAAAUAUGACGCGUAG
rnacentral:rRNA from 1 species